rnacentral:rRNA from 1 species
GACGAACGCUGGCGGCGUGCCUAAUAGAUGCAAGUCGAACGGGGAAAGCUUUCGGGUGAGUACUAGUGGCGCACGGGUGAGGAACGCGUGGAUAAUCUGCCUUAGAGUGGGGGAUAACUAGUCGAAAGAUUAGCUAAUACCGCAUAAGACCACAGGAGCUGCGGCUCAAGGGGUCAAAGGUUUUUCGCUCUAAGAUGAGUCCGCGUAAGAUUAGCUAGUUGGUGAGGUAACGGCUCACCAAGGCGACGAUCUUUAACUGGUCUGAGAGGAUGAUCAGUCACACUGGAACUGAGACACGGUCCAGACUCCUACGGGAGGCAGCAGUAGGGAAUAUUGCACAAUGGAGGAAACUCUGAUGCAGCGACGCCGCGUGAGUGAUGAAGGCCUUCGGGUCGUAAAGCUCUGUCGCAGGGGAAUAACACAAUGAAUGUACCCUGUAAGAAAGGAUCGGCUAACUUCGUGCCAGCCGCCGCCGUAAAAC